AAGAUACUAGUAGAAAAAUUACAUUGCCUUGUCGAGACAAAAUUGCCGGUUAAAAUCCGACGUAUCUUA
rnacentral:tRNA from 1 species